GUACCAACAGUAUCAUUGGAGGGGAAAGGGAAGAAUUUGUUUUUGCUACGAAAUCCCAAAGAUGUCUUCGUGUCCUACUAUUACCAUAUAAUGAAUAGAAAGGUUUUAGGUGCACGGAUGAGCUGGGAUGAUUACAUGUACUUGGUAAUUAACUAUGGAGGAAGUAGAUAUGAUUGGUAUGAAUACACCAACGAAUGGGAGAAAGAAAUGAACAAGAAGAAGACGAAUUACUUAUGUCUAUACUACGAGGAAAUAAAGAAGAACCCCCUUGCAACUGUCAAGUCCAUUGCAGAAUAUCUCGGAAUUUCUUGUUCGGAAACCUUAGCGAAGAAAUCGUUCACAAAUGUAAACUUGAAAACAUGAGAUCCGCCAAUAAAAAUAAAUAUGACGACAGAGGUCAGAGUGGUUCAAACCCGAAUAUGUAUGAUCCGGAUAGAAUGUACAGAAAAGGAGAAGUGGGGGACUGGAAGAACCACUUUACCGUGACUCAUAGCGAGGAAUUUGAUCAAGUUUAUCACAAAAAGAUGGCAGAAUCAUCCUUAGAUUUCGUCUUUGAAUAAGUUUCUUCCCGAUAUUUUUGACAAUAACCCAGACCCCAGAUAUUUGCAUUAAACUACUUUAUAUACUACUCAAAAUUUGAUAAGGAUCACUAGGUUAUAUGUGUGUAAUUUACCACUAACAUAACAAAAGACAUGAAUUUGACUCAGAAACGUGUUUACUCAGGUUAUGAAUGAAAAUUCAUGAACGGCAUGAACUUUUAUCAAUACGAAAUGCUUGAAAUCUGAUAACAACACCAAAAGGCAUUUCAUUACAAAAAGUUAACAGCAAACCAGAGAAAGAAUUACACAGUUUUUGGGAAUAGUCCAUCAUUACACUUAGUCGAUGAAGUGUCAAUACCGGGUAUGGCCUCCCCUUGCAUCAAUGACGGCUUGACAACGUCGAGCCAUGCUGUCAAUAAGCACCCGGAUGUUUCCAAUGGGAAGUUUGUUCCACUCUUCCACGAGGGCGUUUCCGAGCUCUGACAAAGUCGUGGGUUGUGCCGUACGACGUGAAAGGGCAACCUGCAGCAUGUUCCAUACAUGCUCAAUCGGGUUCAAGUCCGUCGAGCGCGCUGGCCAGUCAAUACGGACAAUUGUCUCCUGCUGAAGGUACUGCUACACCACCCUGGCGCGAUGAGGACGGGCGUUAUUAUCCAUCAGGAUGAUCUCAGAGCCAACAGCACCAGCGUAGGAUCUGAGGUAAACAUCGAGGAUCUCAUCCCGGUACCUCACCCCCGUCAUUGUUCCUCUCUCCAGGAUAUGAAGAUCUGUUCUUCCAUCCCUGCUGAUUCCACCCCAGACCAUGAUAGAACCACCACCAUAACGGUCAUAUUCACUGAUGUUGGCAUCAUGGAAACCACACUCGGUGCCUCCUGUCUGUAAAGUCCAAACAAUACCUGGACUCAUCGGUGAACAGAACAUGAACCCAAUUGUUCUGUGUCCAAGCGACAUGAUCUUCAGCCCACUCCAAUCGCUCCCGCCGGUGUCGAACAGUCAGAGGGACUCGAACACAUGUCCUUCUCGAGUUGAAACCUGCAUUGUGAAGCCGAUUCCGUAUAGUCUGAUUGGACACAUUCACCCCCGAGGCGUUCAGGAGGUCGUUACGUAGGCUGGUUGCUGUCCAGAAGGGAUGGCGUCGUGCCUGAAGAGCCACAAAAUGAUCUUGACGUUGGGUUCUCGACCUCUGACGACCAUCCCCAUGUCGGUGUGCUGCUGUACCAAAAGUUUACUGUCGGUUCCAAGCCCUGUUUACAACGCUCGGGCUGACAUUUAGUGUAUUUGCAACGUCACGUUGUGAAUAGCCAGCGUCAAGCAUUCCAAUACAUCUGCCCAGUUGUUCUGUCGUCAGGCGACGCCUUACACGUUGAGGGGGCAUUGUGUUGAUAAACGUAGUGUAAACACUCAAGUGAGUUUGAAAUUUUAGAAAGAAUCAGACACCGAUGCCUGAGUGAAAAUCGUGCAAUGGUAGCAAAAGCAUAAACUGUGAUGAGAAACGCAUUUCCUAUGGCAUGAAAUAUACGUGUAAGUUUGUUGAAAACGUUUUUGAUUUCACUUGGACACAAUAUUGCCAGUUAUGCAGUUAUUAAUUUUUUAAACAGAAAAAUAUCUAUGAUCUUUAUCAAAUUUUGAGUAGUAUAUUUUAUUUCUAUUUUCAUCCACUGUUGAUAAGGUAACUGCUUUAAUCAGAUGAAGAGUAGCACAUCAUGAAAGUUAAACAGAAUUCCAAUGAUUGUUAUCAAUGAUCUAAUGUACAUCAAUUCCAAUGUACAAUUAUUCAUUCAUCGAGAAAACUUGCAUAUGCUAUAUAAUAAAACUUGUUUUAAUU